AGUUGGCAUACGGACUUUUCAUUUUCCAUUUCCACUUCCAUUUCCAUUUGCCUGUCGAUUUCCACAUGCCCAUGCCCAAUUCCAUUUUCAUUUUCAUUUCCAUUUCCAUUCAUCAAAAUUGGCUUUGGGUGCGAGGCGGCAGCUCAUAAUAAUUUGUCAUCAAUUAGCCGAGGGUGUUGAUGUGCGCGGUAAACCAAGUGGAAGUGGAAGUGGCAGUGGCAGUGGCAUUGGAGUUGCAAUUGGAAUUGGAUGGACGAGCACCCCGUCGUCCUGCGGCAUACGGUCUUUAUAUUCUAUAUUGCCGCAAGGAAUUCCCACUGUGCCUCCCGUAACUUUGUAAGCGUUUCGAAUUACCAAAUGAAUUGCAGAACGCUGCUUGUGGAGCAAUCGCCGUAUUUGAUUACAAGCAGCCGAUAACAAUUAAUGCUGCACAUUAGCAUUUUUCGCUUGUGGCGGAAUUCGUUUUAAAACAUAUUCAUUUUACGUUGAAUUAAAGCGUAAAUCUCGGCGUUUUCCUUUUCAGCAACACUAUUCACAUACCAAGUUCCACGACCGAACCUGGGCCACAAGUCAAGUUCCCGUAGUCGGUGGCGAUCAAAAACGCUCUUAAUAAUGAAAGUUUAUGGCCAGCAGCGGCACAUUCCACCGCUCCGCCACCUGCAAAGCAUGAAUGAACCAGGCUUAAUCCGGGCCAAAAAGCCAACUUGGCCCCAAUGACCAGAGCCCAGUGACCAGAGACCAGUGACCAGAGUCGAGAGCCCAGUGACUAGAGUUUGGAGACAGAGACAUAUACGGCCUGCCAUUCAUAUCCUACACAUUAUACAAAAGACCACUUAAAAUCCAUGCCAUACGCGAUUGAGCG